rnacentral:tRNA from 1 species
AAGAGUGAUAGUAAUUCAGUUACGUUGAAUGAGACCUGUUAGGCAUUCUUU